GGGCAACAUACUUUUGUUGUUGUUGUUGUCAUUGUUGUUGUACUUGUAUCUUAGGAACCAAAAUAAUUGUGACUGAAUCCUCUUUCUCAUAUUUGCUUUAAAGGCUUUUAUGCCAUCAUAAGAAAAUUUCUUCAGCCUUGCAUCUGAGAAAAGAUUCACCAAAAAGAAAAAAAAAAUAAAUUUACAGAUGUGGGAAUUACGAUACAGAAGUAUACAGUGUAGUAGCCUUUGCAGUUUCUUCGAAGUUCAGUUGUAAAUAUACAUCUUAGUCCCCAACUCUACAGCUC
rnacentral:lncRNA from 1 species